UACGUAGGGUGCGAGCGUUGUCCGGAAUUAUUGGGCGUAAAGAGCUCGUAGGCGGUGUGUCACGUCGUUCGUGAAAACCUGCAGCUUAACUGUGGGCGUGCGGUCGAUACGGGCAUCACUGGAGUUCGGCAGGGGAGACUGGAAUUCCUGGUGUAGCGGUGAAAUGCGCAGAUAUCAGGAGGAACACCGGUGGCGAAGGCGGCAUCCUGGACCAAUACUGACACUGAGGAGCGAAAGCCAGGGGAGCAAACGGG
rnacentral:rRNA from 1 species